GCGCAUCUGGUGUAGUGGUAUCAUAUUACCAUCCCACGGUACUGACCGGGGUUCGAUUCCCCGGAUGCACA
rnacentral:tRNA from 1 species